UAUGUAAAUAUCCGGUGUUUGUCCAAAAUUCUGUAAAUAACCUGUAAAUUCAGAUUUACGGGAUAUUUACAGGGUUUAAUUUACACGAAUUUUACGGGAAAUUUACAGAGUACGUAAAAACUCUGUAAAUUUGAUGUGAAUUAAAUUUACAUAGUUUUUACACUAAAUUUACGUAGUUUUUAAAUUAUUCUCGAACAAAACAAAUGAAAUCGUUCGAUUUUGCCAUUUUUUUAUUUUAAAACAUGCAAAUAUAUGCAAAAACUCCAAAGCGAGGUGAAUAAAUUAUUAGUGAAAACCAAGAUGGCGGUCAUACUUGUCCAUUUUUACAUUGAAAGCAGUGAUUUGCACUUUAAAAAGGUGCACAUUUCAAGAUAUAGCGAAGAUUUAGUCUUUGGAUGGUAAAAGCUUCGAUGAAGACACUCAAAAGAUCUAUCAACUGGCCUGGGUGACUAUAACGGGUUCGGCAUGAAUUAAUCCUUCUCUGUGACAUCUCGAAAGCAGAGGUUUCUGUGUUGUGCUACUUUGAUGUGCUUAAACAAGUCUGUAUGGUGUAGGAAAUGUUCUCUCAAGUCAAGUCUGAAACACAAUCGGUCUUGUUUUUAAUCCUGCAGGGUACAUGCUAUACCCUCCUCACCAAUAUGUGAUACCGGUGGGGGAGCCAGAUUAGACGCCGGCCACUCGUCCAUGAGACAGGUAGUACUGGGUUACAUGUUACUAGUAGCAGACUUGAUGCCUGACCUGACUAACAUAUGUAUUAUUAAAUGAUCAACAAACGGUUUCCACAUUUUAUAUGAUCUGAAAGAGGCUACUUGAAUGAAACUUGUCAAACAUUGAAAA